CCGGAAAAAGAGGAGUGGCGAACGGGUGAGUAACACGUGGGUAACCUGCCCAUCAGAAGGGGAUAACACUUGGAAACAGGUGCUAAUACCGUAUAACAAUCGAAACCGCAUGGUUUUGAUUUGAAAGGCGCUUUCGGGUGUCGCUGAUGGAUGGACCCGCGGUGCAUUAGCUAGUUGGUGAGGUAACGGCUCACCAAGGCGACGAUGCAUAGCCGACCUGAGAGGGUGAUCGGCCACAUUGGGACUGAGACACGGCCCAAACUCCUACGGGAGGCAGCAGUAGGGAAUCUUCGGCAAUGGACGAAAGUCUGACCGAGCAACGCCGCGUGAGUGAAGAAGGUUUUCGGAUCGUAAAACUCUGUUGUUAGAGAAGAACAAGGAUGAGAGUAACUGUUCAUCCCUUGACGGUAUCUAACCAGAAAGCCACGGCUAACUACGUGCCAGCAGCCGCGGUAAUACGUAGGUGGCAAGCGUUGUCCGGAUUUAUUGGGCGUAAAGCGAGCGCAGGCGGUUUCUUAAGUCUGAUGUGAAAGCCCCCGGCUCAACCGGGGAGGGUCAUUGGAAACUGGGAGACUUGAGUGCAGAAGAGGAGAGUGGAAUUCCAUGUGUAGCGGUGAAAUGCGUAGAUAUAUGGAGGAACACCAGUGGCGAAGGCGGCUCUCUGGUCUGUAACUGACGCUGAGGCUCGAAAGCGUGGGGAGCAAACAGGAUUAGAUACCCUGGUAGUCCACGCCGUAAACGAUGAGUGCUAAGUGUUGGAGGGUUUCCGCCCUUCAGUGCUGCAGCUAACGCAUUAAGCACUCCGCCUGGGGAGUACGACCGCAAGGUUGAAACUCAAAGGAAUUGACGGGGGCCCGCACAAGCGGUGGAGCAUGUGGUUUAAUUCGAAGCAACGCGAAGAACCUUACCAGGUCUUGACAUCCUUUGACCACUCUAGAGAUAGAGCUUCCCCUUCGGGGGCAAAGUGACAGGUGGUGCAUGGUUGUCGUCAGCUCGUGUCGUGAGAUGUUGGGUUAAGUCCCGCAACGAGCGCAACCCUUAUUGUUAGUUGCCAUCAUUUAGUUGGGCACUCUAGCAAGACUGCCG
rnacentral:rRNA from 1 species